rnacentral:rRNA from 1 species
CAGUCGCCGCGGUAAUACGGAGGAUCCAAGCGUUAUCCGGAAUCAUUGGGUUUAAAGGGUCCGUAGGCGGUCUUGUAAGUCAGUGGUGAAAGCCCAUCGCUCAACGGUGGAACGGCCAUUGAUACUGCAGGACUUGAAUUAUAGGGAAGUAACUAGAAUAUGUAGUGUAGCGGUGAAAUGCUUAGAGAUUACAUGGAAUACCAAUUGCGAAGGCAGGUUACUACCAAUUGAUUGACGCUGAUGGACGAAAGCGUGGGUAGCGAACAGGAUUAGAUACCCCGGUAGUCCCUGUCUCUUAUAA